UGUUCUCCACAGGAUUGCUGCUGAAGGUCUGUGCUGUUCAUGAGCAGCUCUAAUGAGCAUCCCUAGCUACAAUAAAGCUGAGGAUCACAAACCUUCACUCCCUGGUGUGUUACCCUACUACACAUAGAGGAGAAAUUCAGGCACUCCCUGAGGAUGAAGAUCAAAGAGGGGUGACAGCUUCCCCCAGCUCCUUGGACAGACAAAAUAACCCAGCAGGAAACAAGACACCAUGCUGAAAAAUUGUCUGCCUUCUACUGUUCUCCAUCUGGAAAAUAAAUCAGCCACACCCUGCCUCUCUGUGCUCGACUGCUGCUGUCCUGCCCAAGGGAAGGAAAGAAGCUAUUUCCCACCUGAAAUAACAUCUCGUAGGAUAUAGCAAUGGCAUUGGACUCCAUGGUCAGUAGCCAUCACUGUUUUAAGAGUUAAAAAAAGGAAAACAAUUCAGCCACCACAAGCAGGUGUUGUGUCGGGAUCACUGAUCACCUCUGAAGUUUCAGCUAUUGCUUUGUGUUUCCCAUCUGGUCAUUGCCCUGUUGCCUUGUUCCCAGACAUUAGGAGAACUGAGAUGUUGAUUCUUUAUGUGCUCAGCGUGUGGCAUUAUGAGGCUAGAGCCUGCAGGACUUAGGAUAUGAAAAUAGCUGCCUGUCUUAGCAGAACUUUGGAGCAUACAGCUUCUCUGAAGACACAUGAUGAGGGUAGAGGAGCUGAGCUCUCCAUUCAGUGGGAAGAACGACAGAAUAAAUGUACCAUAGAAACAUGGGAUGCUUUGGGCUGGAAGGGAACUUGAAGACCAUCUAAUUCCAACCUCCUUGCAAUGGUCAGGGACAGCUUCCACCAGAUCAGGUUGCUCAGAGGCCAAAUCUAUAUGUUAGUAAAUGUUAAGCUGCAUGUCAGAAAGAAA